rnacentral:rRNA from 1 species
GACGAACGCUGGCGGCGUGCUUAACACAUGCAAGUCGAACGGAAAGACCCUGAUCUUGUGGGGUGCUCGAUGGGCGAACGGGGGAGUAACACGUGUGUAACCUGCCCUUGACUUUGGGAUAACUUCAGGAAACUGGGGCUAAUAUCGGAUAGGAGCUCCUGCUGCAUGGUGGGGGUUGGAAAGUUUCGGCGGUUGGGGAUGGAUUAGCGGCUUAUCAGCUUGUUUGUGGGGUAGUGGCUUACCCAGGCUUUGACGGGUAGCCGGCCUGAGAGGGUGAACGGCGACACUGGGACUGAGAGACGGCCCAGACUGCUACGUGAGGCAGCAGGGGGAAAUCUUGCCCAAUGGGCGGAAGGCUGAUGCAGCAACGCCGCGUGCGGGAAGACGGCCUUCGGGUUGUAAACCGCUUUCGCCUGUGACGAAGCGUGAGUGACGGUAAUGGGUAAAGAAGCACCGGCUAACUACGUG